GCCGGGUUGGCGGAAUGGUAGACGCGGCGCACUCAAAAUGCGCUGUCCGCGAGGGCGUGCGGGUUCGAGUCCCGCACCCGGCACCG
rnacentral:tRNA from 2 species